ensembl:lncRNA
GUCUCAGUUUCCAAAGGCCCAAGAACAAGGAGCUCCAAUGUUCGGGAUGCAAUGGCAGUACCCUCUGACUAGCACACUUUCUGUGGAUGUGGGAGAUUAUGUCUUAAUUCACAGAAAAAAGAAGCCUUUAAGACAGGGAUUGAACUCAGGACCUUGCACUUGUGAACCAGGUGGUGGACCUAUUCUUGAAUUCAUAUUGAAGUGUUUACAGACUGUAACAGGAGGCUGGAGGAGACAGGGGCAGUGCUGCUGCUUCAGGGAGUUAUCAUGGCAGGAGGAUGAUAUCCUGUGACUUGUUACACUUCUAGAAUAUCUUUGUGAGCUAUUACAUACAGAUGUCCUGAGCAAGACAACCAUGGGAGGGCUGACUUCUCAUGAAAUCUUCAACAUGCUCAAGAUUUAUGGGCCGUGAGUCUGAAGGCAGGAAUACAAAUCUUAUGACUCCAGUUAUGAAUGUAAGACAAUACCAAAUAACCCUUCUCUGCUGUGUUUGCAGGCUCAGAAGGGUGGCGGGGUUUGAGUUGUAAAGUCCUCAGCCUCCCAUUUGGGAAAGUAUGGAAAAUCACUUAAUGUCUCCACCCUGCACUGUCUCCUAGGAUGUUUCCAACUAAUGCACACGAGGAAACAGGGACAACAAAUAAAACAUACAGGCUCAGGAAUCCAAUACCUCCACUUGGAAGUUUUCUGUCCUUUGUACAUCAGAAGAUUUAUACUGCACAUGUAAAGGAACCACAUUGGAAGUGUUACCCAGUGAUAAUUUUGCAAUUUCUGUUUGAGGACUCCAGGUCUCCUAGACAUUGUGCAGGCACAAGCACUAUGAUCCCAAACAGCUGGGCGAACCUAAAUAUUAUGAGGCGUGUCUCUGAGUAAGCAUUAUUUUUAACAUAUUUUGCUUCUGGCCAUCACAAAUUGAGCAGCUUUGCUCUAUCAUGCCCUUUCACCAUGACAUUCCUGCCUUAAAUCCAGUUGACCAUGGACUGAACCCUCUGAGCUGUGAGCCAAAUUAAACAUCUCCUUAUUUAAGUUGUGAGUGUCUGCUACUCUGUCCUGGCAAUAGAAAAGCUGAUCAAUGCACAUAUUAAUCUUUACCUAUGCUUACUUAACUGAAAAUGUGAAUUAAGUAUACUAUACUACAUUCUUUUCAUAAAGCAUUUCUGGUAGAUCCUAAAACAUGUUAUAUUUCAUUUUAGGUAUACUUCUCUAUUGUGAAUGAAGACAUUUUUUAGGGAGGAAAAUAGAGAGGCC